UACGUAGGCAGCAAGCGUUGUUCGGAGUUAUUGGGCGUAAAGAGCGUGUAGGCGGUUUGGCAAGUUUGGUGUGAAAUCUCCCGGCUUAACUGGGAGGGUGCGCUAAAGACUGCCUGGCUCGAGUGUGGGAGAGGAAAGCGGAAUUUCUGGUGUAGCGGUGGAAUGCGCAGAUAUCAGGAGGAACACCGGUGGCGAAGGCGGGUCUCUGGGCAGUAACUGACGCUGAGGAGCGAAAGCGUGGGGAGCAAACAGG
rnacentral:rRNA from 1 species